rnacentral:rRNA from 1 species
GACGAACGCUGGCGGCGUGCUUAACACAUGCAAGCCGAACGGAAAGGCCUGCUUUCCCUUGUGGAUUGCGGGUACUCGAGUGGCGAACGGGUGAGUAACACGUGAGUGAUCUGCCCCCAACUUGGGUAUAAGCCUGGGAAACUGGGUCUAAUUCCCGAUAGGACUGCAGGGUGGUGCCUGUGGUGGAAAACGAUUUUCUAGUGGUUGGGGAUGAGCUCGCGGCCUAUCAGCUUGUUGGUGGGGUAAUGGCCUACCAAGGCGGCGACGGGUAGCCGGCCUGAGGGGGUGGACGGCCACAUUGGGACUGAGAUACGGCCCAGACUCCUACGGGAGGCAGCAGUGGGGAAUAGUGCACAAUGGGCGGAAGCCUGAUGCAGCGACGCCGCGUGGGGGAUGACGGCCUUCGGGUGGUAAACUCCUUUCGACCGCGAGGAAGCCACCUGGUUGGAAGGGUGGUGACGGUAGUGGUAGAAGAAGCACCGGCUAACUACGUG